rnacentral:rRNA from 3 species
UGACCUCAUUGGGGUAGGACAACCCGC